AUAUGAGAGAAAAAAGGAGCGAGAAUUUAAGCAGAUGAAUUACUGCGGUGAAUCGAUUCAGCGACAGUACCAUUCAAGGGAAUCACCUGUUAGUCAUGCCACUCACCACGAGGACAUGGCCAGGGACGGUCAGUCAGGGGGACUGGAUUUACUCCAAAUCGAGCAGGAACUACGACAGAACAAUGAUGAGCGAAGUGAAGACAUUUUACCGGGUUUAGGAAAAAGAAAGCGCAGGCCAGGUUGGAGUGGUGAAGAAGAUAAGAGACAUGGCAAUGUUCCGGCGAUAAAGGGAGAAAUGCUGUUUUGGCCUUCAUCCAGUGCUGCUUGCUUUGAAGUUUGGCAGAAGAAGUGCUCAUUGUUUGUAUGUUCAUGCAAAGGGAGAUAACCCUCAUUCAGCUGAUGUGCACAAGGUGAUGUCCCUUGCAGAGGAGAAAAGGAUACCCAUCAAACAUUUGUCAUUGUCGCAGAUUGACAGGUGUACAAAUUACAGACCACAUCAGGGUGUCUGUCUUGAUGUGUCCAGGCUAAAAGCCCUCCCCUACAUCUCACAGGA